rnacentral:rRNA from 1 species
CCUACGGGUGGCUGCAGUGGGGAAUAUUGGACAAUGGGGGGAACCCUGAUCCAGCCAUGCCGCGUGUGUGAAGAAGGCCCUCGGGUUGUAAAGCACUUUCAGUGAGGAAGAACGCCUGGUGGUUAAUACCCAUCAGGAAAGACAUCACUCACAGAAGAAGCACCGGCUAACUCCGUGCCAGCAGCCGCGGUAAGACGGAGGGUGCGAGCGUUAAUCGGAAUUACUGGGCGUAAAGCGCGCGUAGGUGGCUUGAUAAGCCGGUUGUGAAAGCCCCGGGCUCAACCUGGGAACGGCAUCCGGAACUGUCAAGCUAGAGUGCAGGAGAGGAAGGUAGAAUUCCCGGUGUAGCGGUGAAAUGCGUAGAGAUCGGGAGGAAUACCAGUGGCGAAGGCGGCCUUCUGGACUGACACUGACACUGAGGUGCGAAAGCGUGGGUAGCAAACAGGAUUAGAUACCCCUGUAGUC